GUUUCUCAUGGUGAGAAGACAAUAUUUGCUUUCUCUUCUUCCUUUCUUCCGGAUGAGAGGCUAAGCCAUAAUAGAAAGAAUGGAUAAUUAUUGAUUGACCAUCUUUAUUCUGUGGGCUCUGAUUCUCCAAUGGGAAUACCAAGGGAUGGUUUUCCAUACUGGAACCCAAAGGUAAAGACACUCAAGGACAGACAUUUUUGGCAGAGGUAAGAUCUUCUUCGGUCACCAUACUUGAGUUAGCCCUGGGAAAGUGGACAUUUCCAUGCAGAAUCCUAAAGCUUCUUCCAGGCCAUAGUGUCUGUCCCACACCUUCUGGUAUCUCUUGAUAUGCAGCAUAGAUGAAAAUGGCAAGUUCCCUGGCUUUCCUUCUGCUCAACUUUCAUGUCUCCCUCCUCUUGGUCCAGCUGCUCACUCCUUGCUCAGGUAGGGAAUGAUUCCACGAUUCCACAUUUAUGUUUCUGAAGCAGACAAUUAUCUCAAUUACCUAAUUAAGCAGACAAUUACCUAAAUGCCCUCUUAGAACCUUUAACUCAUUCCCAUACCUGGAAGUCCAUCCCAACCUGAAGGAUCACCUGUCACAAAGAGACAAAUGGCCCUUCUGUUAGGAUUGUGUUCCCCUCUAGGUUCUCUGUAUCUCGCCUUCCCUGUCUGAGAAGGACCCUUCCUCUCAUGACCCCAACUCCAAAACCCUCUGAUGGAGCUUCCCCCUUGUGCUGACAGCUCAGUUUUCUGUGCUUGGACCCUCUGGGCCCAUCCUGGCCAUGGUGGGUGAAGACGCUGAUCUGCCCUGUCACCUGUUCCCGACCAUGAGUGCAGAGACCAUGGAGCUGAAGUGGGUAAGUUCCAGCCUAAGGCAGGUGGUGAACGUGUAUGCAGAUGGAAAGG
rnacentral:sRNA from 1 species